rnacentral:tRNA from 5 species
CGGGGCGUAGCGCAGCCCGGUAGCGCACUUGACUGGGGGUCAAGGGGUCGUGGGUUCAAAUCCCGCCGCCCCGACCA